AGUGAACGCUGGCGGCGUGCCUAAUACAUGCAAGUCGAACGAAGUGGCGCAAGGGAGAGUAAUAUAUAGUUAAUCUGCCCUACACAGAGGAACAACAGUUGGAAACGACUGCUAAUACCUCAUAGUGUAGGAUGAGAAUAUAUCGUAUCAGCUAGUUGGUAAGGUAAUGGCUUACCAAGGCUAUGACGCGUAACUGGUCUGCGGGGAUGAUCAGUGACAUUGGAAAUGAGACACGGUCCAUACUGCUACGAGAGGCAGCAGUAAGGAAUAUUGCGCAAUGGGGGAAACCCUGACGCAGCAACGCCGCGUGAAGGAGGACAGUUUUCGGAGCAUAAACUCCUUUAAACAGGAAAACGGUACCUGGUGAAUAAGCACCGGCUAACUCCGUGCCAGCAGCCGCGGUAAUAC
rnacentral:rRNA from 1 species